AUACUCAUCAUGGCCUCCUCCUCCUCCCUGAGGCCCUGAUACCUGCGGCGGCACCUCUCCUCCUCCCUGGUGCUGCCGCAACAGAUACCGGAAUUCGAGGCCCCCUCCUCCUCCCUGGGCCUUGAAG
rnacentral:ncRNA from 19 species